rnacentral:rRNA from 1 species
CAGCAGUGAGGAAGGUGGGAUAUGUUAAUAGCAUAUUCAUUUGACGUUAGCUGCAGAAGAAAGCACCGGCUAACUCCGUGCCAGCAGCCGCGGUAAUACGGAGGGUGCGAGCGUUAAUCGGAAUUACUGGGCGUAAAGCGCAUGCAGGUGGUUUGUUAAGUCAGAUGUGAAAGACCCGGGGCGUCAACCUACGGAAUUGCAUUUAGUAAACUAGGCAAACUAAGAGUACUGUAGAGGGGGGUAGGAAUUUCAGGUGUAGCGGUGAAAUGCGUAGAGAUCUGAAGGAAUACCGGUGGCGAAGGCGGCCCCCUGGACAGAUACUGACACUCAGAUGCGAAAGCGUGGGGAGCAAACAGGAUUAGAUACCCUGGUAG